GCAGUAAGUGUAACUAUUUCGUCAUCCUCAAUCUUUUUCAUAUUGGAUAGGAUUUCCUUAAGAUAUUUGGCGUAGGAGGGCAUUUGUGUGACGGCUUCUGUAAAGGGUAUCGUAAUGUUUAAUUGCUUCAUAAGUUCAACAAAUUUCCUAAAUUGAUUCGCAGUUUUAGAACUUUUGAGUCUUUGAGGAUACGAAACGGGUGGUUUAUAAGGAGGUGAAGGCAC
rnacentral:lncRNA from 1 species